UGGGGAAUAUUGCACAAUGGGCGAAAGCCUGAUGCAGCGACGCCGCGUGAGGGAUGACGGCCUUCGGGUUGUAAACCUCUUUCGACAGGGACGAAGCGCAAGUGACGGUACCUGUAGAAGAAGCACCGGCCAACUACGUGCCAGCAGCCGCGGUAAUACGUAGGGUGCGAGCGUUGUCCGGAAUUACUGGGCGUAAAGAGCUUGUAGGCGGUUUGUCGCGUCGUCUGUGAAAACUCACAGCUCAACUGUGAGCUUGCAGGCGAUACGGGCAGACUUGAGUACUGCAGGGGAGACUGGAAUUCCUGGUGUAGCGGUGAAAUGCGCAGAUAUCAGGAGGAACACCGGUGGCGAAGGCGGGUCUCUGGGCAGUAACUGACGCUGAGAAGCGAAAGCGUGGGUAGCGAACAGGAUUAGAUACCCUGGUAGUCCACGCCGUAAACGGUGGGUACUAGGUGUGGGUUUCCUUCCACGGGAUCCGUGCCGUAGCUAACGCAUUAAGUACCCCGCCUGGGGAGUACGGCCGCAAGGCUA
rnacentral:rRNA from 1 species